CCUACGGGAGGCAGCAGUGAGGAAUAUUGGUCAAUGGGCGAGAGCCUGAACCAGCCAAGUCGCGUGAGGGAGUACUGCCCUAUGGGUUGUAAACCUCUUUUGUCGGGGAGCAAAAGCCGGACGUGUCCGGCUGUGAGAGUACCCGAAGAAAAAGCAUCGGCUAACUCCGUGCCAGCAGCCGCGGUAAUACGGAGGAUGCGAGCGUUAUCCGGAUUUAUUGGGUUUAAAGGGUGCGCAGGCGGAUUUUUAAGUCAGCGGUAAAAUCGUGGGGCUCAACCCCAUCCAGCCGGUGAAACUGGGGAUCUAGAGUGUGCGAGAGGUAUGCGGAAUGCGUGGUGUAGCGGUGAAAUGCAUAGAUAUCACGCAGAACUCCGAUUGCGAAGGCAGCAUACCGGUGCACAACUGACGCUCAGGCACGAAAGCGUGGGUAUCGAACAGGAUUAGAUACCCCGGUAGUC
rnacentral:rRNA from 1 species